rnacentral:rRNA from 1 species
GACGAACGCUGGCGGCGUGCUUAACACAUGCAAGUCGAACGGAAAGGCCCUGCUUUUGUGGGUUGCUCGUGUGGCGAACGGGUGAGUAACACGUGAGUAACCUGCCCUUGACUUUGGGAUAACUUCAGGAAACUGGGGCUAAUACCGGAUAGGAGCUCCUGCUGCAUGGUGGGGGAUGGAGAGUUUCGGCGGUUGGGGAUGGACUCGCGGCUUAUCAGCUUGUUGGUGGGGUAGUGGCUUACGAAGGCUUUGACGGGUAGCCGGCAUGAGAGGGUGACCGGCCACAUUGGGACUGAGAUACGGCCCAGACUCCUACGGGAGGCAGCAGUGGGGAACAUUGCACAAUGGGCGGGAGCCUGAUGCAGCAACGUCCGGUGCGGGAUGACGGCUUACGGGUUGUAAACCGCUGUCGCCUGUGACGAAGCGUGAGUGACGGUAAUGGGUAAAGAAGCACCGGCUAACUACGUG